AAUUAUUCUGAAUGUUCCUCUGCAACAUUAGCCACACUUUCCAUAUGAGACUGGUUUCUGCUAUCUGUGGUUUUCCUGUGAACAAGUUCCACAUCUACUUCUCUAUUCAAACAAUCCUCUCUGACACAGUCACCAUCUUCUGUGAAGUCAGACUAACAGUCUGUAGAUGUCUGAUAAAUGGUGUUGUUCAUCCCUGAUAUGGCUGGUCAUCUGUUUUUGGUCAUCCUCCUUUUCGUCACCUUCCAAUACAUCGAAGCCCAAGGUCCUUAUCCAAAACCAGACAUUACAAUCACAUUUGAUGAGGACCUCAACAUCAUCUGUUUGAUUCCUGGAUCCUUCAGUCCUGACACCACCUGUAACCUGUAUGUUGGAGAGGAGAGUCAGCCAUCCUUCACAGUAAAGAUCAAGAAUCGAAAAGCUACCUCAGCAUCCGGACAGAAUUUCUGUCAAUUCACUCCAAAACAUAGUGAUCUGAUCAGUCGUCUACAGUCAGUGAGGCGUAAGGAGGUGAGCUGUGACUACAGAGUGAGCUCAGGACCUAACUCUCUCUCACCACGCAGUGAUGGGUACAGCUUUGCACGUGAGUCAUUAUCUAAACAAAUGUAUCAGUGCUGCAGGUCUUCAUGAUCUGACUCACUUUGAUUUUAGCAUCUUCUUAGUAUGACAUACUCAUUCUGACCAACAAACUAAAUACUACAUUUCAAUCCCAAAUGAUUUCUGAGCUGGUGGGAGUUAACAUUAGUGAUCCAGCAACUAAACCCUUUCCAACAGGUAGGCUACACAUUCACAAUAAAUCCAUGUAAUAUAGCCUACACCUUCACAAUAAAUCCAUUAUGUAUUUUAGAGAGGUCUGAAGAAGCAUGACAUGAAGAACAUUUAGUCUAUUUCAGAAGAAAAUAAUAUUGUUCUCAGAGUCAGAGUGACAAAUGGCUGUGGUUUACACUAGUUCAUUUAGCAGACAAGAUUUUCUUAUAAUCCCGUGGUAUUAUUUUAUAUUAUGAAGAAUACAAUGGAACAAAUGCUUAAUUUAGAGUUAUUAUUAAUUAACUUUAGUUGUUCUACAAACAAUGGGCUACAUGUUUAGAUUUUUAGUUGAUAGUAAGGCUGAAUGAUGAGACUAAUGAGGAUUUGAAAAAAGUUUGUUGAAAGGCAUGAGCUCUGCUCAGUUUUUUUGUGCAGGAUGUACACACUCUGAAUUGGCAAAUCGGUUCAAAUAUGACACAACCAAGAACUUUGUGAAAAUCAAUAUAGACUUUUAAUACAACAGUAUCAUAAGCCGGAGCGGUCCGCGGAACACACACACUUUUUCAGAGCCCUCGCUCUGAGUUAUACACCUACCAUAUAAGUCCCUCCCAUAUGCAAAUUAAGUUACAUCCCAAUCCAUGCUUCCUGCUUGUUCAGCCCAAUAACGCCCCGAACUGCUUUCCAUUAGAUCCUAAUGGUGACAAGACCCUUGCUUUGACCCUUCACUCAGCUUAAUGCGUUCUCCUGUUUGUGUGUUAUCUAGGGUCAGCAGACUAUGUGUCUCUUCUGUUUUUAGCAUGCUCAGCUAUACUAAAAAUACUAUACAUUCCCCUUUCCUGUGGCCUGUGUUCAUACCCUGUAAUUAACUCCAUGUGUCCCUUUUGGUGUCUUUCAUCUCCUUUAGCUUUAGGGUGCCUAGCUGUUCUGGUCGCCUUCUCUUCAUAUGGUUGUCUAAGAUCAAACAGACUUGUCUCCUGUGAUGUGAUUGAUGUCUGUAAUCCAUCAAUUGGUCCUUUGGCUGACCCCCUCCUUAGACAACCUCUGACCUUUGUAUGUCCAGCUGCCCUAGGCGUCUAUGUGUUGCCCUCUCCCAUGGCCCCACUCUGGCUUCCUGUCCUAUACAAUAGACAAUGUACCUUACCAGAAUGGCAAAUGCAUCCCUCUUUUAUAUAGGACAGUAUAUUUAUCCAUAUAUGUACCUAAUUUCUCCCACAUAACCCUCCUCUGGUGCUUUAAUAAGCACCAAAAACUUAAAAAGGACAUAUAUGGAACAUAAUAUCAAGUCGAUUAUCAAAAAAAAAAAAUAUAUAUAUUUUUUUUAAAUAAAAAAAUAAAAAAUAAUUAAAAAAUAACACUUCCUAAUCACCUACACCAAACAUCUCUAGUAUUUCAUAAGAGUAAAAUAUCUAGUUCGGUAUAGAAACAAAAAUAAUACAUUAUAUUUUGUUAAAGCAUGAGCAUGUAAAUACAUAACCUUGUCUGAGGUUCUCAGCUACGCGAAAAAGAAAAAAAAUAUAUAAUAAAGCAAUGAGUCAAAUAAUAAAUUGAAUAUGAGAAAACACUAGGCCUCCAUGCAGUUACAAAAUAAAAUUGACACAUCAUUCUAAAUUUAAGCUUUCCACAUGAUUCUCCCUCUCAGACACCUCUCCAACAACCGUGAUACCAUCAAUACCAACCUCUGUUAGAAGAUUAAGGACAUGGUCCGUAGACACUUGUAUCCGGGAUAUCCCACUGUUACCUACAUGUUUUUAAAUAUAACCUAGCAUUUUAGAAGGCAAAACUAACUUUUAAUUAAAAGAAACCAGAUAUAUUCAUUGAUAUACCUAUAAAAACAUUUGACAAAACAUACUAAAACACAAGGCCGUGAGCAAAAGUAGACCUUACAUAACACCUCUUGUACUUACUACGGAAAUUACCCUUUUUGUGGAUAUGCAUCAGUUGACUUUCUUAUGAAUUUGGAAUGACAGCAUAACUGUCCAUUUUCAUCAGUAUAGUGGCCUGGCCUACCCGGCACAGGAUCAACUAUCACCGGAGUGUCAGCUCUACUUACAAACAUCUGUUUAACCGUUGUCUGAAUCACAAGUGAUUUCACCCAGGGUAAAACACAACAAAAUACAAUACCCAGAGCCAAUAACCCCCCUUCCAGCAUAAAGACCGUCCUAGCAAACAUGGCUCCCCAUUUCCCCAAUGCUAAGUCCAACCAAUCCCAAACAUGAGAGUCCACCCCAGCAUUUUUCUUAACCUCUUCUCUUAACCCUUUAAGUUUAGCCAUAGCGAUUGCAAGGGAUCCAUUAGGCGCAGUGUUAUUGGGAAUAAAGGUGCAACAAUCAUCCCCGAACAUAACACAAACUCCACCCUUCUCUGCAAAAAGCCAAUUGAGAGCCUGUCUAUUUUGGUAAGACAUUUUACUGGUAUCCUGUACCUGUUCCCCCAACGCCGUUAAAGCCGAGUCAGUAUAGUUAAUGAAUCUCUGUUGGUUAUAGUAUAUAUAAGUCAUCCACUCUAAGUUCUUAUUUGGUGUUAUCCACAAAAAUAUAGAUUCAAAUCCAGAUUUAACUUCAUCUCUUGCCUUGAACUCCCGAGGUACCCCUCUAGGCUGUCCAAUUGCAUCAAAGUAUACCUCAGUGUCUUUCUCAUACGCCCUCUUAACUCUAGAGUUAACAUAGUCAUCAUGGGGUGAUUUAAUAAUGGUUACCUGUUGAAUUGCUCUAACUAAGGUACAAAGACCCGUCCAUCCAUCUGGCAGUACAUUCAACAGUUUGUCAUUCCCACACAUCCAGAAACUAUCCGCAAUACUUCUGUCAUGAUUUUUUAGCAUAAUAAGAGAUGGCGCAACCUGAGUUAUUGUACCACACACCCCUUUUCUAUGCAUUAUCAACCCUUUAUAUUUAUUCCUACGAACCCCUGCAGUCUCUAGUACCCAAAUAGUAUCACAUUCUACAGUGGUGUUUCCUACACCAAUUCCUUCGGUGUUAUGGCUGUAAAAACCUUCAUAUUUACCUUUAACCACAGUACUUCUGUCUAAUUGAGGUCCAUUUAAUUCAGUUUUAAUGUCAUAGGCAGCACAAUCCUUGUCUCCUAAUCCAGUCUCGUUUAACAUGGUUCUGCCUCUAGUGCUCCCUCGAGCAAUCCUAUAUUCUAUAUCACACAAGGGAAUGUAGUAUUUUCUCUGAAUAUUGAACAUUUUACAUUUAACACAUUCUUCAAAUGAUGCAGGUUCAGGUACUAUCAAAAGAUCAGACAAAGGUGAUUUUUUACACAAAAUACAAUUGUCCAUUCUAUGUUUAUUUCUGCUGUAUACUUAGCCCAUUCGUACCACUCAUUCUUCACUAUUCUUUUCAUGUGGUGUCCUUGAGUGGUUCAGAGUCUGGUAUGUCUGUCUGUCAUCUUUGCAAUGUUCUUAUCUUGAGGUAGGUCAUUAGAGUUAGUCAAAAAGUUCAAAAUGUCAAUGAAGAACCCUCCUGGUUCUGAUGCUUUCUAGCUACCACCGGCUCUUCCUGUUUAGGUAUUGGCGUAAGACCAAUUCUGAAUGACUGAGGAACUACUCCCUUCAGUCAAUCUUGUUCUCGUUAUUUCACCUAUUAAUUCUUCACCUUCAACUGGUUCAAUCUGAUUCAUGGUGAGCACCCACUCGUCUACUUCUUUGGUUAACGUCAGGUCACAUCCUUUUGAGUCCCAAAUGACUUCUCUCUUCGUUCGAUGAUAUGUCCAGCCACCGAAUGCAAUCUCCGGUAAGGGUUUGAUCCUUUUGUCUUCUAUUCUUCUGUUUCAGUUAUGUGUUGAGGUGGGACAGAGAUUCUAACCUUGUCAGUCUUUUUAGAUUGUUUGACUGGUUCCUCUUUUCUCUUCCUGUUUCCACCCUACAUCUUGAUUGUGCGUGAGUCUGUUGUUGCUAUUCUAGCGUUCACUGUUACUUCUGUUAU
rnacentral:lncRNA from 13 species